GGUAGUGUGGCUCAAGGUUACAGCUCCUGCCUCGAAAGCAACAAGCCUUGAGUUGAAAUCCCAGGACUACCA
rnacentral:tRNA from 1 species